CACACAAAAAAAACUGCUGAACCUCUGAUCUGAACUUUCCCUAAAACAAAACAGAGAGAAGCGGAGAAGGCCGCCGCCCGCCGCUACCCUUGCCGGUCGGCGGCGCCGAGCUCGCGGGAUACCUAACUGCGAUUCUUGCUCUCCUACGCGCUCCGCGUCUCCGCCGGCAGAUUGCGUGCGACAUGGACGACUUCCGGUUGAUUGCUAGUGAGUGACGCCUGGAGUGUGUUUUGCACAAUGGGACAAUCAAACACACAAAUGGUGGACAGUAACGGAUUGGGCAUGUGUGCUUGUUGACCAGCUCACCAUUCAUGUGACCGACUAAAGUACCUCAUUUAUACCUUCUGAGGUUCCAGACUGGCUGAUGGAUCAAGCUCAGCCCGACAUAAGCUUCCUCUACUUCAUGCAUGAUCGAUUAAGUGAAGACCACUGCCUAUCAAUGAAGAUAUGGGUAAUGCGAUGUUUGGAAUAUUAUUUCUGACAAUGAUAAAUGCUUCUUAUGAAGAUACUGGUGUGCUAUCAGGUCAGCCAAUGUUGUCUGCAAGAAUGCUUGCACCAUGGGUUGAUCCUUUCCAACUAGCUGGGGAAUAUGCGAACUUGAUAUUGAAAUUGGCAGCAGUAAGCACAUUCUGGCCGGUUUAGUUCUUCGUACCCUUAAUGUUGCAGCCUGAGAUCUCGACACUUACGCAUUCACAUGAGUAUCAUCAAUUUCGCCAAUACAAUCAUGUGAUGACAUGAACAAAUAAUUAUGUCCACACAAAUACAAUCUAUACAAUUAUGUCACAAUCUAUAUAAUUAUGUGAUGACAUGAACAAGUAGUCAUGCUCACACCAAUGCAAUCUUGUGAUGACAUUAACAAACAAUACUAGUCACCUUGACAGGUGGACACCAUCUUGGGCUCAUUUGUAUCUUUGAUGGAGUUUUACCGGUUUGUGGCUUAUCACCUCUCCGAGGUCUCCAAUAGCUGGAUGUUGUCUAUGUGGAUCUCCUGAAUGUCAAAACUAAACCUCUGGUUAUGACCUACAACAUGAAAGAACAUUGCUACUUGCUCUUCCACAGUGGUGUGGAUGUUAUCUUGUACCAAAAGCAUGUCCCUAAGCGUCUUCACAACCUGGUAAAAAUGGGCUCUUUUCAUCAGAAGCAUGUUGACAACUUCUACAUCAUUGCAGUUGUAAAUUUAGUUCAUAUUUGCAUGCCUAUCGGGUCAACAUUGGAUCAUACGUGAUCACAAACUUGACAUUGCGUUGAACAUCUCUCUUGUGGACCAAAAGAAGCUAAGAUCUCACAAUUAUGAGUGUUGCUGCCUGUAUGAUAGCUUCAUCGGUGCUUCCUAACAU